AACGAACGCUGGCGGCGUGCCUAAUACAUGCAAGUCGAGCGGUAAGGCUCCUGCAGAUUAUUUAAACGGUAGGACAGAGGCGUAAGCUUCAAGGUUCUGCACCCAUAUCUCCCGGCUAGGAGACAGGGCAGGUUUGAAUGAUGUGCUGGAGUACACGAGCGGCGGACGGGUGAGUAACGCGUAAGAAUGUACCCCAAAUGAGGGAUAAGCACCAGAAAUGGCGUCUAAUACCGCAUGUGCUCUUCGGAGUAAAGCUUCGGCGGUUUGGGAACAGCUUGCGUCUGAUUAGCUAGUUGGUAAGGUAACGGCUUACCAAGGCGACGAUCAGUAGCGGGUCUGAGAGGAUGAUCCGCCACACUGGGACUGAGACACGGCCCAGACUCCUACGGGAGGCAGCAGUAGGGAAUUUUCCACAAUGGGGCAACCCUGAUGGAGCAACGCCGCGUGCAGGAUGAAGGCCC
rnacentral:rRNA from 1 species